rnacentral:rRNA from 1 species
CUACGGGUUGCACCAGUGAGGAAUAUUGCACAAUGGGGGGAACCCUGAUGCAGCAACGCCGCGUGGAGGAUGACGCAUUUCGGUGUGUAAACUCCUUUUAUAUGUCAAGAAAAUGACGGUAGCAUAUGAAUAAGCACCGGCUAACUCCGUGCCAGCAGCCGCGGUAGUACGGAGGGUGCAAGCGUUACUCGGAAUCACUGGGCGUAAAGGACGCGUAGGCGGGUUGGAAAGUCAGGUGUGAAAUCCUACAGCUUAACUGUAGAACUGCACUUGAAACUUCUAAUAUAGAGUAUGGGAGGGGGAGAUGGAAUUAGUGGUGUAGGGGUAAAAUCCGUAGAUAUCACUAGGAAUACCUAAAGCGAAGGCGAUCUCCUGGAACAUUACUGACGCUAAGGCGUGAAAGCGUGGGGAGCAAACAGGAUUAGAUACCCUUGUAGUC